AAAAAAUAAAAUCGUAUUUGUUGCUUUCGGGUGACAUCUUCGGAAUUGAGCCAUCUUUUUUGAACAUCUAUUAGGGUUUGCUUAAGAGGCUUAAAAUUGAUCAUUCAUGACACGACUUCAGUUUAAUAAUAAAACGCAAGUCACGUCAUACGCGUUUAUUAGGCGUGGCUAAAUGUAACAGUUUACGAUAGUUUCACGACCUAUAAUCCCAUUUUACG
rnacentral:misc_RNA from 1 species